UAUGCCCACAUCACGUUGAAACACAAGUUCCCAUAAGAUCACCGAAGUUAAGCAACAUCGAGCCGGGUCAGUACCUAGACGGGUGACUGCUUGGGAAUACCUGGUGCUGUAGG